AGAGUUUGAUCCUGGCUCAGAUUGAACGCUGGCGGCAUGCCUUACACAUGCAAGUCGAACGGUAACAGGUCUUCGGAUGCUGACGAGUGGCGAACGGGUGAGUAAUACAUCGAAACGUGCCCGAUCGUGGGGGAUAACGCAGCGAAAGCUGUGCUAAUACCGCAUACGAUCUACGGAUGAAAGCGGGGGAUCGCAAGACCUCGCGCGGACGGAGCGGCCGAUGGCAGAUUAGGUAGUUGGUGGGAAAAAGCUUACCAAGCCGACGAUCUGUAGCUGGUCUGAGAGGACGACCAGCCACACUGGGACUGAGACACGGCCCAGACUCCUACGGGAGGCAGCAGUGGGGAAUUUUGGACAAUGGGCGAAAGCCUGAUCCAGCAAUGCCGCGUGCAGGAUGAAGGCCUUCGGGUUGUAAACUGCUUUUGUACGGAACGAAAAGACUCUGGUUGAUACCUGGGGUUCAUGACGGUACCGUAAGAAUAAGCACCGGCUAACUACGUGCCGCAGCCGCGGUAAUACGUAGGGUGCAAGCGUUAAUCGGAAUUACUGGGCGUAAAGCGUGCGCAGGCGGUGAUGUAAGACAGAUGUGAAAUCCCCGGGCUCAACCUGGGAACUGCAUUAGUGACUGCAUCGCUGGAGUGCGGCAGAGGGGGAUGGGAUUCCGCGUGUAGCAGUGAAAUGCGUAGAUAUGCGGAGGAACACCGAUGGCGAAGGCAAUCCCCUGGGCCUGCACUGACGCUCAUGCACGAAAGCGUGGGGAGAAACAGGAUUAGAUACCCUGGUAGUCCACGCCCUAAACUAUGUCAACUGGUUGUUGGGAAUUCACUUUCUCAGUAACGAAGCUAACGCGUGAAGUUGACCGCCUGGGGAGUACGGCCGCAAGGUUAAAACUCAAAGGAAUUGACGGGGACCCGCACAAGCGGUGGAUGAUGUGGUUUAAUUCGAUGCAACGCGAAAAACCUUACCCACCUUUGACAUGUACGGAAGAUCGCAGAGACGCGAUUGUGCUCGAAAGAGAGCGUAACACAGGUGCUGCAUGGCUGUCGUCAGCUCGUGUCGUGAGAUGUUGGGUUAAGUCCCGCAACGAGCGCAACCCUUGCCAUUAGUUGCUACAUUCAGUUGAGCACUCUAAUGGGACUGCCGGUGACAAACCGGAGGAAGGUGGGGAUGACGUCAAGUCCUCAUGGCCCUUAUAGGUGGGGCUACACACGUCAUACAAUGGCUGGUACAAAGGGUUGCCAACCCGCGAGGGGGAGCUAAUCCCAUAAAGCCAGUCGAGUCCGGAUCGCAGUCUGCAACUCGACUGCGUGAAGUCGGAAUCGCUAGUAAUCGUGGAUCAGAAUGUCACGGUGAAUACGUUCCCGGGUCUUGUACACACCGCCCGUCACACCAUGGGAGCGGGUUCUGCCAGAAGUAGUUAGCCUAACCGCAAGGAGGGCGAUUACCACGGCAGGGUUCGUGACUGGGGUGAAGUCGUAACAAGGUAACC
rnacentral:rRNA from 1 species